UACAGAGGUCUCAAGCGUUGUUCGGAUUCAUUGGGCGUAAAGGGUGCGUAGGCGGCGCGGUAAGUCGGGUGUGAAAUCUUGGAGCUUAACUCCGAAACUGCAUUCGAUACUGCCGUGCUUGAGGACUGGAGAGGAGACUGGAAUUUACGGUGUAGCGGUGAAAUGCGUAGAUAUCGUAAGGAAGACCAGUGGCGAAGGCGGGUCUCUGGACAGUUCCUGACGCUGGGGCACGAAGGCCAGGGGAGGCAAACGGG
rnacentral:rRNA from 1 species